UCUGCCGUUUGAUUUGAGCGUGCUGUACUCUACCGGCGCGACUUGCCUCCCUCGCUGAAGCUCCCCCUGGUGCCCUUGACAACGUCCUGAGAUUGCAAAGCUCACCACCGCAAUGUGUCCACUGCUACCCCUUUGCUGAGAGCUAUUCUGCCCCUGAUUAAAUGUGGCAUCGCUUCCUCUGUUUGGUCUAUUUCUGAUGUGUAUAGUGUCCCUGCUAAUGGCUCUCAUCUACCGAGGUAAGAUCGGGUGCUGAAGUCGCCGUUCCCCCUGAGUUGCAUGGCUAUUCCAGGUUUCCAUUUCCACACUCCUAGACGGAGUAACUGUCCACUGCCUCUGUAGCUGAUUUACUGCUGCCAUCGCUGCCAGUUGGUGAGCUAAGGAGUUGCCUUCUCGUGGAGUCCAAGUAGCUCCCACAUCCGGAGCCUCUUCCAGCAGUU